rnacentral:rRNA from 1 species
GUAAAAAGUAGAAUAAUAGAUUUGAAAUAUUUAUUAUAUAGAUUUAAAGAGAUAAUCAUGGAGUAUAAUAAUUAAAUUUAAUAAAUUUAAUAUAACUAUUAAUAGAAUUAGGUUACUAAUAAAUUAAUAACAAUUAAUUUUAAAACCUAAAGGUAAACCUUUAUAUUAAUAAUGUUAUUUUUUAUUAUAUUUAUAAUAAGAAUAAUUAUUAAUAAUAAUAAACUAAGUGAACUGAAACAUCUAAGUAACUUAAGGAUAAGAAAUCAACAGAGAUAUUAUGAGUAUUGGUGAGAGAAAAUAAUAAAGGUCUAAUAAGUAUUAUGUGAAAAAAAUGUAAGAAAAUAGGAUAACAAAUUCUAAGACUAAAUACUAUUAAUAAGUAUAGUAAGUACCGUAAGGGAAAGUAUGAAAAUGAUUAUUUUAUAAGCAAUCAUGAAUAUAUUAUAUUAUAUUAAUGAUGUACCUUUUGUAUAAUGGGUCAGCAAGUAAUUAAUAUUAGUAAAACAAUAAGUUAUAAAUAAAUAGAAUAAUAUAUAUAUAUAAAAAAAUAUAUUAAAAUAUUUAAUUAAUAUUAAUUGACCCGAAAGCAAACGAUCUAACUAUGAUAAGAUGGAUAAACGAUCGAACAGGUUGAUGUUGCAAUAUCAUCUGAUUAAUUGUGGUUAGUAGUGAAAGACAAAUCUGGUUUGCAGAUAGCUGGUUUUCUAUGAAAUAUAUGUAAGUAUAGCCUUUAUAAAUAAUAAUUAUUAUAUAAUAUUAUAUAAAUAUUAUAUAAAGAAUGGUACAGCAAUUAAUAUAUAUUAGGGAACUAUUAAAGUUUUAUUAAUAAUAUUAAAUCUCGAAAUAUUUAAUUAUAUAUAAUAAAGAGUCAGAUUAUGUGCGAUAAGGUAAAUAAUCUAAAGGGAAACAGCCCAGAUUAAGAUAUAAAGUUCCUAAUAAAUAAUAAGUGAAAUAAAUAUUAAAAUAUUAUAAUAUAAUCAGUUAAUGGGUUUGACAAUAACCAUUUUUUAAUGAACAUGUAACAAUGCACUGAUUUAUAAUAAAUAAAAAAAAUAAUAUUUAAAAUCAAAUAUAUAUAUAUUUGUUAAUAGAUAAUAUACGGAUCUUAAUAAUAAGAAUUAUUUAAUUCCUAAUAUGGAAUAUUAUAUUUUUAUAAUAAUAAUAAAAAUAUAAAUACUGAAUAUCUAAAUAUUAUUAUUACUUUUUUUUUUAAUAAUAAUAAUAUGGUAAUAGAACAUUUAAUGAUAAUAUAUAUUAGUUAUUAAUUAAUAUAUGUAUUAAUUAAAUAGAGAAUGCUGACAUGAGUAACGAAAAAAAGGUAUAAACCUUUUCACCUAAAACAUAAGGUUUAACUAUAAAAGUACGGCCCCUAAUUAAAUUAAUAAGAAUAUAAAUAUAUUUAAGAUGGGAUAAUCUAUAUUAAUAAAAAUUUAUCUUAAAAUAUAUAUAUUAUUAAUAAUUAUAUUAAUAAUAUAUAUAAUUAUAUUAUAUAUUUUUUUUAUAUAAUAUAAACUAAUAAAGAUCAGGAAAUAAUUAAUGUAUACCGUAAUGUAGACCGACUCAGGUAUGUAAGUAGAGAAUAUGAAGGUGAAUUAGAUAAUUAAAGGGAAGGAACUCGGCAAAGAUAGCUCAUAAGUUAGUCAAUAAAGAGUAAUAAGAACAAAGUUGUACAACUGUUUACUAAAAACACCGCACUUUGCAGAAACGAUAAGUUUAAGUAUAAGGUGUGAACUCUGCUCCAUGCUUAAUAUAUAAAUAAAAUUAUUUAACGAUAAUUUUAUUAAAUUUAGGUAAAUAGCAGCCUUAUUAUGAGGGUUAUAAUGUAGCGAAAUUCCUUGGCCUAUAAUUGAGGUCCCGCAUGAAUGACGUAAUGAUACAACAACUGUCUCCCCUUUAAGCUAAGUGAAAUUGAAAUCGUAGUGAAGAUGCUAUGUACCUUCAGCAAGACGGAAAGACCCUAUGCAGCUUUACUGUAAUUAGAUAGAUCGAAUUAUUGUUUAUUAUAUUCAGCAUAUUAAGUAAUCCUAUUAUUAGGUAAUCGUUUAGAUAUUAAUGAGAUACUUAUUAUAAUAUAAUGAUAAUUCUAAUCUUAUAAAUAAUUAUUAUUAUUAUUAUUAAUAAUAAUAAUAUGCUUUCAAGCAUAGUGAUAAAACAUAUUUAUAUGAUAAUCACUUUACUUAAUAGAUAUAAUUCUUAAGUAAUAUAUAAUAUAUAUUUUAUAUAUAUUAUAUAUAAUAUAAGAGACAAUCUCUAAUUGGUAGUUUUGAUGGGGCGUCAUUAUCAGCAAAAGUAUCUGAAUAAGUCCAUAAAUAAAUAUAUAAAAUUAUUGAAUAAAAAAAAAAUAAUAUAUAUUAUAUAUAUUAAUUAUAAAUUGAAAUAUGUUUAUAUAAAUUUAUAUUUAUUGAAUAUAUUUUAGUAAUAGAUAAAAAUAUGUACAGUAAAAUUGUAAGGAAAACAAUAAUAACUUUCUUAAAAAAUAAAAAUGGAAAGAAUUAAAUUAAUAUAAUGGUAUAACUGUGCGAUAAUUGUAACACAAACGAGUGAAACAAGUACGUAAGUAUGGCAUAAUGAACAAAUAACACUGAUUGUAAAGGUUAUUGAUAACGAAUAAAAGUUACGCUAGGGAUAACAGGGUAAUAUAGCGAAAGAGUAGAUAUUGUAAGCUAUGUUUGCCACCUCGAUGUCGACUCAACAUUUCCUCUUGGUUGUAAAAGCUAAGAAGGGUUUGACUGUUCGUCAAUUAAAAUGUUACGUGAGUUGGGUUAAAUACGAUGUGAAUCAGUAUGGUUCCUAUCUGCUGAAGGAAAUAUUAUCAAAUUAAAUCUCAUUAUUAGUACGCAAGGACCAUAAUGAAUCAACCCAUGGUGUAUCUAUUGAUAAUAAUAUAAUAUAUUUAAUAAAAAUAAUACUUUAUUAAUAUAUUAUCUAUAUUAGUUUAUAUUUUAAUUAUAUAUUAUCAUAGUAGAUAAGCUAAGUUGAUAAUAAAUAAAUAUUGAAUACAUAUUAAAUAUGAAGUUGUUUUAAUAAGAUAAUUAAUCUGAUAAUUUUAUACUAAAAUUAAUAAUUAUAGGUUUUAUAUAUUAUUUAUAAAUAAAUAUAUUAUAAUAAUAAUAAUUAUUAUUAUUAAUAAAAAAUAUUAAUUAUAAUAUUAAUAAAAUACUAAUUUAUCAGUUAUCUAUAUAAUAUCUAAUCUAUUAUUCUAUAUACU